GUAAUCUACCUUUGAGUGGGGAAUAACAGUCGGAAACGACUGCUAAUACCGCAUAAUGCAGCGGCACCGCAAGGUGACAGUUGUUAAAGGAGCAAUCCGCUUAAGGAGGAGCCUGCGGCAGAUUAGCUUGUUGGUAAGGUAAUGGCUUACCAAGGCUACGAUCUGUAACCGACCUGAGAGGGUGGUCGGUCACACUGACACUGAAUAACGGGUCAGACUCCUACGGGAGGCAGCAGUCGGGAAUUUUGGGCAAUGGGCGAAAGCCUGACCCAGCAACGCCGCGUGAAGGAUGAAGUCUUUCGGGAUGUAAACUUCGUAAGAAUGGGGAAGAAUAAAUGACGGUCCCAUUUGUAAGGUCCGGCUAACUAC
rnacentral:rRNA from 1 species